rnacentral:rRNA from 1 species
UUCCUUCGGGAAUGGAUUAGCGGCGGACGGGUGAGUAACAACGUGGUAACCUGCUUCAUAGAGGGGAAUAGCCUUCCGAAAGGAAGAUUAAUACCGCAUAAGAUUGUAGUACCGCAUGGUAUAGCAAUUAAAGGAGUAAUCCGCUAUGAGAUGGACCCGCGUCGCAUUAGCUAGUUGGUGAGGUAACGGCUCACCAAGGCGACGAUCUGUAGCGGGUCUGAGAGGAUGAUCCGCCACACUGGGACUGAGACACGGCCCAGACUCCUACGGGAGGCAGCAGUGGGGAAUUUUGGACAAUGGGGGCAACCCUGAUCCAGCCAUUCCGCGUGAGUGAAGAAGGCCUUCGGGUUGUAAAGCUCUUUUGUCCGGAACGAAACGGUGGACGUGAAUAUCGUCCAUUACUGACGGUACCGGAAGAAUAAGCAC